GGAAGCUGAGGAUCAGAAACAAUCAAGAGCUCCAGGAACACAGAAAAUGGAGCCUGAGGGAACCAAGGCUUCUUAGAAAGGAAGGCAGAUCUACAGGCCCC